GACGGAGGAUGCAAGCGUUAUCCGGAAUGAUUGGGCGUAAAGAGCGUGUAGGCGGCCAAGCAGGUCCGUUGUGAAAACUGGAGGCUUAACCUCCAGACGUCGACGGAAACCGCGUGGCUAGAGUCCGGAAGAGGAGAGUGGAAUUCCUGGUGUAGCGGUGAAAGUGCGCAGAUAUCAGGAAGAACACCAAUGGCGAAGGCAGCUCUCUGGGACGGUACUGACGCUGAGACGCGAAAGCGUGGGAGCGAACAGG
rnacentral:rRNA from 1 species